rnacentral:rRNA from 1 species
GGGGGGUGGGGGGCUGCUUACCAUGGCACGUCGAACGAAGCAUUAUAUACGAGAUGCCCUCUGGGAGGAAGUGUGAAUGACUGAUAGGGGGACGGGUGAGUAACGCGUGGGCAACCUGCCCCGUACCGGGGGAUAACAGCCGGAAACGGCUGCUAUUACCGCAUAUGCUUUGCGGGUCCUGCGUGGGACAGUGUGAAAAACUCCGGUGGUGCAAGAUGGACCCGCGUCUGAUUAGCUGGUUGGCGGGGUAAAGGCCCACCAAGGCGACGAUCAGUACCCGGCCUGAGAGGGUGGACGGCCACAUUGGGACUGAGACACGGCCCAAACUCCUACGGGAGGCAGCAGUGGGGGAUAUUGGACAAUGGGGGGAACCCUGAUCCAGCGACGCCGCGUGAGUGAAGAAGUAUUUCGGUAUGUAAAGCUCUGUCAGCAGGGAAGAAAGCAAUGACGGUACCUGACCAAGAAGCCCCGGCUAACUACGUGCCAGCAGCCGCGGUAAUACGUAGGGGGCAAGCGUUAUCCGGAAUUACUGGGUGUAAAGGGUGCGUAGGCGGCUUUGCAAGUCAGAAGUGAAAUCCAUGGGCUUAACCCAUGACCUGCUUUUGAAACUGCAUAGCUUGAGUGGAGUACAGGUAGGCGGAAUUCCCGGUGUAACGGUGAAAUGCGUAAAGAUCGGGAGGAACACCACCGGCGAACGCGG